UAUGAUUCACAUCAGAAACAUGGCGUCGCGAAGGAAGUCUGGAAGCGGCGUUCUUGAAAAAGGUGCCAAUGGAAGACGGUCUUCAAAACUUAAAGAUGGGCCCAUAGUUACUUCCCUUUUGGUGGUUCAGGCUACUGAAGGACCUUGCAGUACAUGGAUGGUGAAUGAAAAAUGUGAAACCAAACAGUAAAUGGCAAGUGCUUCUUGGAAUGUACUGUAUACCUGUAUUGUUGCGCAUGCUGCCAGUUGUCUGUAGUGCUUCCUGUAGUUUAAUGUGCAGGUGUGAACAUUGUAGAGCGUUAUAGAGAGCUUUUGUCCUUAAAUAGGCCAGAUUGUCUGCAGAGUGCAGUAUACUGCAUCAAAACUAUGGAGUCUAAUACGUGCUAAAGCUACAAUGACUGGUUAGCUUAACCCUCUCACCCCACGCAUCCCUGUCUAUAUAUAUAUAUAUAUAUAUGCAGCAUGUCAAACCAGAGGACUACUAAAGAGAUUUGAGGCUGUGUCACUGGCAAAUUUAACGAAACAGACUGUAAAGAAUUCUGUCUUUAUUCAGUGGAAAUCAGAGACAAAUUUGAACUCUUUCAGUGGGAGGCGAAAAGCUGAGGUAAGAUAUUGAGAUAGCUGUCCAAAUUUAGCUUUUAGCUUACUGUUCUCCUCCUUUGGUGACCCAUUUCUCUCACCCAAGUAAUCUGUUAUCUUAAUUGUAUUGUUUUAAGCACAGUUUUACUGUGUAAAACAGUUGCAUGAAAGAUAUUUUGCUUCUUGGCAGUAACGUUAUCUAUCUUGCUUCCCAUCACAUUAAUACCAAUGUGAUACUUAGUUAAAAAUACUAAAUAAUAAGUUUGUUUUCUGAAAAUGUGAUUUGUGUUUGGUAAUGUUUACAGUACUGGGUAAGGUUCCUUCUGGGUUAUUUUAAGAGAACCAGAACAGAACUAAACAGUCUAUUUAAAACAAGCUGUGUCAAGUUUAUAAGAUAUUCUUCUAGCAUAUAGUACUAGUCCUCUAGAAGCAUGGAUUCUUUAUGCUAUGUAUUUAUGUAUAAUAAUUAGGCAUACAGUGUGAACAGCAAUAGAAAUGUAAAACAUACUUAAAAUCUAAUAAUUAAGCUAAGAAAUGUGGGUGAAAUUGUGUAAAUGUAGAUUUAAUAUUUGAAGUAGUUUUUGUUCUUUGUUUUUGUGGUUGGUGGUGAGGAUGGCAGUAAAAGGAAACGUGUCAUUACUUGGAUGCUGCAGGGUAUUGUUCACAGCUUCCUCUCGAACUUUGUGUGGAGUAAUAUGGGACUAAUCAGUCUCUUUGUCCUCUUUUAGUAACAAAACAUGAAGCCAGAUGCUUGGCAUACGGUUUGAAC
ensembl:lncRNA